AGUUCUGGGCUCUGCCCUCUUGUGUGGCCUGGUUUGUCCUCUUCUUCCUUUCCUAGGCCCCCUUGUCUCCCCUGGCUCUCACAUACUCUUUCCAGCUGCCUCCCAAGCCAGCCCUGCAGUCUGAUGAACAUUCUAGAGUAUGUGGACACAGACGGACGCUCUGGCCACAGGCUCUGGCUCUUAGGUUCCCUGGACUUCUCCACACAUCUCCUUCAUCCAGUGUGAUCCUCUCUACGGGUCUCUUCACUGCUGCUCAGGUCUGAUCUAGGAAGAAGAGUGGGCUUAAUUGGGAGACGGGAUGAAGGUAUAAAGAGGAGACUUGGAGGACCUGGGCUCUCCUUUCUGUGGCCUCCUUAUGCCCAGAAUCUCUCCCUUUUCUGUUUCCUCUGCUCAAGCUGUGUGUUGGUUUCCCAUCUCUUCUGACUGCAUCUGAUUGACUGGCCUUUC
rnacentral:lncRNA from 1 species